rnacentral:misc_RNA from 1 species
GAUGAAGAACGUAGCGAAAUGCGAUAAGUAAUGUGAAUUGCAGAAUUCAGUGAAUCAUCGAAUCUUUGAACGCACAUUGCGCCCCUUGGUAUUCCGAGGGACAUGCCUGUUCGAGCGUCAUUAUAACCCCUCAAGCUCAGCUUGGUGUUGGGGCCUGCUGCACUGGCAGCCCUUAAAAUCAGUGGCGGCGCCAUCUGGCUCUAAGCGUAGUAAUUCUUCUCGCUAUGGAGUCCUGGUGGAUGCUUGCCAUCAACCCCCAAUUUUUCUAUGGUUGACCUCGGAUCAGGUAGGGAUACCCGCUGGACUUAAGCAUAUCAAUAAGCGGAGGA